rnacentral:rRNA from 1 species
GAUUGUACCUUGAGAGCGACCGAAAGGUUGAUACAAUACAGGUGCAGUCUUAUGUGUCUGACCUUGUGGUAUGCUAUUAAUUUGGUGUUUUGGGGAAUUUGGACUGUUACUUUGAAAAAAUUAGAGUGUUUAAAGCAAGCUAACGCUUGAAUACAUUAGCAUGGAAUAAUGAAAUAGGACGUUCGAUCCUAUUUUGUUGGUUUCUAGGAUUGACGUA